UACGAAGGGGACUAGCGUUGUUCGGAAUUACUGGGCGUAAAGCGCACGUAGGCGGAUUUGUAAGUCAGGGGUGAAAUCCCGGAGCUCAACUCCGGAACUGCCUUUGAUACUGGCGAUCUCGAGAUCGGAAGAGGUGAGUGGAAUUCCCAGUGUAGAGGUGAAAUUCGUAGAUAUUGGGAAGAACACCGGUGGCGAAGGCGGCUCACUGGUCCGAUACUGACGCUGAGGUGCGAAAGCGUGGGGAGCAAACAGG
rnacentral:rRNA from 1 species